GAGCCCCACCCACUCAGUGCCAUGGGCCAGCAGCGGCUACACCGCCGCUGGGGCUGCUUGUGUCCCCUCCCGCCUUCUCCUGCCUUUCCUCACUGCGCCCAGCCGGGCAGCUCUCAGCCCCGCUCUGUUCAGCGCUCGGGACGUCGCUGGUCCAAGGCCCUGGCUUUACUAGUUCUGGCUCCGACUAGUCAGUGCUAGCGGCGGCCUCCCCUCCUGCCAGCUUUGGCGCCAGGUGAAGCAUCUGGUUUGGAAACAUUGCUGCAAAGGGCAUGUGAACAAGGACUGUCAGAACUGGGAAGCUAAUCUGUAAAAGGUAUAUGAUGAGAAUAAAACAGGCCUUCCGUUAUUGUCUGCUGAGCAACUGGAUCCACCUUUGAGAAGUACUGUAAUCUGCCAUUGUGUUAUAGCAUAGAGAACAGCGAAACGCCCUCCCUCCUCCUCAGCACAAUCUGAUUAAGCUGGUUACUUCUUGUCCUACUUUCUGUGGACAUCGAGAACAACUGAUCACCAUCCUUUUUGUAACAGCCCUUCACAUAUUUGAAGACUCAUCAGGUUCAACCUCAAUCUUCUUUUCUCAAGAGUAAACAUGACCUCAUAGGCCAGGUUUUCAAAACUUUUUAUCAUUCUUGUUGCUCUCCUCUGGGCUUUUUCCAAUUUGUCCAUAUCCUUUUAAAAGCGUGGUGCCCAAAUCAGCACCCAAUACUCCAGGGGAGGCCGCACCAGUGUCAAGUAAAGUGGAACAAUUACCUCCCAUGUUUUACAUACGAUACUCCUGUUAAUACACCCCAGAAUGAUAUUAGCCUUCUUUGCAAGUGCAUCGCAUUUUUAAUUCAUAUUCAAUUUGCAAUCCACUAUAACCCCCCGAUAGUUUCUGCAGUACUACUGCAUAGCCAGUUAUUCUCCAUUUUGUACGUGUGCAUUUGAUUUUUCCUCCUUAAGUGUAGUACUUUGCCGCAAUAUCGCAAUAUCAAUUUCUGCCUCCACAACGCCUGCCCAGGCUAUGCUUAGAGGAACAGCUCAGACUGGUUUUUUCAUGUAAAUUUCCUUGGUUAGAGUACAUUCAGAAUUCUUUACAUUCUCUAGGCCUCUCAAAAUUGAAAACGAUUAAACUUAUUUUAAAAAAAUGAAAUCCCUAAUCAAGUUGAGAUUAGAGGAUAUUAUUAAGCAAUUAGACGUGGCAGUUAUUUCCAUUACAAAUGUGUCUCCUUGGUUCCCCUUUGUUAAAAAGAGCCCUGGGUAUGCAAGUUAUUUAGACAGUUUGUCCAAUAACAAGUUAAGGAGCUCUCAGUUUUCAAUUUAUGCAGUCAGAUUACUUAUGUCUACACUUAAACACACACAAAAAAAACCCUGUAGCAGCAAAUUUCAGAGCCCAGAUCAACUGAUUUGGGUUCAUGGGGCUUAUGUUCUGAGGCUUAAAAUAGGGGGGUACACCUUCCCACUUGGGGUGGAACCCAGGCUCUGAAAACUGGCGAGGGGGCUGGGUCUCAGAGCCUGGGUUUCAGCCCAAGCAGCAAUGCCUACACUGCUAUUUUUAGCCCCAUAGCCCAAACCCUGCUAAAGCCUGCAGUUCAUCGGGGCUCUGAGACUUGCCAACCAUGGUUCCACCUCCUCUUCCCCCAGUGGAGACAUACCCUUAGAAGGCUGAUGUAUUGACAUCAAUAAACAUAACCACCUCUGUCCAUGCCGCUCUGAGCAGGUAGACGACCUACCCAAUUAUUUAUUUUGUUGUAAUCUGUAUUGUCACUUGAGGUCAAAAUGGCUUUCCAUGUUUUUGUCAUUUUUCUAUGACCUCUCAGGAAACAGAGUAUUUAUUAGGAAAUGACACAUUUGAUCAAAGUGAUUGCCCUAUUAGCAUAGUUAGCCAAUAAAAUAAGGAAAAGGCAAGUGGCAUGGUGCAUAUAUAUGGCUUAAUGGUCUUUCGACAUUUGUAUUUAUAUUAAUAUUCUAAAAUUUUGGAUUUAGUUUUAAGUUUUACAGUAAUAUAUUUUGUUUUGGUGCACUGGUCUCUGGCUAAGUCACUGAUA